rnacentral:lncRNA from 1 species
GUAAUAAUUGUGCACUUCCUACGGCUUCCACUAGAUGUCGACAGUCUUUACAAAGUUGUUUGAAGCUUCUACGAUGAACAGAGCCCGAAUGACAAGGAGGGGAAGUUGUUGAGGCAGGGGGUGACAUCACUUCUUCGGGCGCGUUCACGAGGGAGGGAGGAUCCUCCCGUUCCAAAACCUUUUUCAAGACACAGGAACCGUCCGGUUGAAAUAUUAUUGAAUCUUCACAUUCUGAAGGCCCUAAAGAUUGAUGUUUUACAACGUUUGACAUGUUUGAACGAACGUAAAUACAACUUUUUUUUACUUUUCGUCGCGACAUCGUCCGUGCGCUUUCUACACUUGGAGUAGCUUACUGGACGCACGAACAACAAGGAGUUAUUUGGACAUAAAUUAUGGACUUUAUCGAACAAAACAACAUUUGUUCUGGACCUGGAAAUCCUGGAAGUGCCUUCUGAUGAAGAUGAUGAAAGGACCUGACCCUAGGACCAUGCCUCAGGACUACCUGACAUGAUGACUCCUUGCUGUCCCCAGUCCACCUGGCCGUGCUGCUGCUCCAGUUUCAACUGUUCUGCCUGCGGCUAUGGAACCCUGACCUGCUACCUGUCCCAGACCUACUGUUUUCAACUCUCUAGAGACAGCAGGAGCGGUAGAGAUACUCUCAAUGAUCGGCUAUGAAAAGCCAACUGACAUUUAAUCUUGAAGUGCUGACUUGUUGCACUCUCGACAACUGUGAUUAUUUUUUAUUUGACCAUGCUGGUCAUUUAUGAACAUUUGAACAUCUUGGCCAUGUUCUGUUAUAAUCUCCACCCGGCACAGCCAGAAGAGGACUGGCCACCCCUCAUAUCCUGGUUCCUCUCUAGGUUUCUUCCUAGGUUUUGGCCUUUCUAGGGAGUUUUUCCUAGCCACUGUGCUUCUACACCUGCAUUGCUUGCUGUUUGGGGUUUUAGGCUGGGUUUCUGUACAGCACUUUGAGAUAUCAGCUGAUGUAAGAAGGGCUAUAUAAAUACAUUUGAUUUGAUUUGAUAGUGAAGACAUCAAAAUUAUGAAUUAACACAUAUGGAAUCAUAUAGUUACCAAAAAACUGUUAAACAAUUCAAAAUAUAUUUAAUAUUUUAGAAUCUUCAAAGUAGACACCCUUGCUUUGAUGACAGCUUUGCACACUCUUGGCGUUCUCUCAACCAGCUUCACCUGAAAUACUUUUCCAACAGUCUUGAAGGAAUUCCCACAUAUGCUGAGCACUUGUUGGCUGAUUUUCCUUCACUCUGCGGUCAACUCAUCCCAAACCAUUUAAUUUGGGUUGAGUUUGGGUGAUUGUGGAGGCCAGUUCAUCUGAUGCAGCACUCCAUCACUUUCCUUCUUUGUCAAACAGCCCUUACACAGCCUGGAGGUGUGUUGGGUCAUUAUCCUGUUGAAAAACAAAUGAUAGUCUCAUUAAGAGCAAACCAGAUGGGAUGGCAUAUCGCUGUAGAAUGCUGUGGUAGCCAUGCUGGUUAAGUGUGCCUUAAAUUGUAAAUAAAUUACAGACCAGCAAAGCACCCCCACACCAUUAGCCCUCCUCCUCCAUGCUUCACAGUGGGAACCACACAUGUGGAGAUCAUCCUACUCUGCGUCUCACAAAGACACGGCGGUUGGAACCAACUCAUCAGACCAAAAGACAGAUUUCCACCAGUCUAAUGUCCAUUGCUCUUGAUUCUUGGCCCAAGCAAGUCUCUUAUUAUUAUUGGUGUCCUUUAGUAGUGGUUCCUUUGCAGCAAUUAGACCAUGAAGGCCUGAUUCAUGCAGUCUCCUCUAAACAGUUGAUGUUGAGAUUUGUCUGUUACUGUAACUCUGUGAAUCAUUUCUUUUGGCUGCAAUUUCUGAGGCUGGUAACUCUAAUGAACAUAUCCUCUGCAGCUGAGGUAACUCUGGGUCUUCCUUUCCUCUGGUGGUCCUCUUGAGAGCCAGUUUCAUCAUAGCACUUGAUGGUUUUUGCGUCUGCACUUGAGGAAACGUUCAAAUUUUCCGGAUUGAAGGACCUUCAUGUCUUAAAGUAAUGAUGGACUUUUCUCUUUGCUUAUUUGAGCUGUUCUUGCCAUAAUAUGGACUUGGUCUUUUACCAAGUAGGGCUAUCUUCUGGAUACCCCUACCUUAUCACAACCCAGCAGUUAGAAGAAUGAUUGUCCAUGUGGAAAAGGUGGAGUUGAUGUGGAGGACAGGAAUUUAUAGAGGUUCUUUCAACCGUCCUUCCUGAAAACAACUAAAGAGUUUAAGGGCAGACUAGGAUCUCCAACCCCGGGCAAAGCCACUGAUUGGCUGACCGGGUCAGCUGACUCUGUUCUCUGGAAACCUGGUCCCUAACACAUAACCUCAGCUGUUAGAAGUCACCAAGUUUGUCUCUAAGUCCCAGGGCCAGAUAGAGGGUUUUAGAGAGGGUUCUGGGUAGUACUCAUAGGCAACAGUAAGGGUUUUCUUCAUACUAUGAUAUUGAAUGUGUGCCCCAGAUGUAUUUCCAGCUAAUAAUUAUGGUUAGUCACUAGCAGAACAAUCUCCAUGACAUUAACUUGAGUUGCACUUCUGUCUGUCUCCCUAUCAGUAUGAAUCAAUGUUUAACAGGCAUUUAUAACCACCUUUAAUGCUCUUAUAAUGACAUAGUGGAGCAAUCGCUGAGCUAAAGUUCCCGGUAGAAGAGGAAGUAACGCUUUAAAUUGAAUCAAUGUCAUAACACUUGAAAACAUGUUUACAGCCAUAUUGAUUUGUUGUGUGGAAUGGAACUCAAAAAAUACAAUUUAACACUGAGGUAAGGCAGACGACCAUAUGAACAGGAACAACCCUGGCUGGCAGUCUAGCUUAUGUUGACAUCAUUUUUUGAUGUUGAGAAAAGUACAAAAUCUGCAGGGCUUGCACUAUGACGCUG